UUUUUUUUUUUCGUAAAUCUGUACCUCUACUAAUUCUUAGCAAAAAUAUUCAAUAUAUUAUGUUUUGAAAUAAUUUUAGCGAUAUGUUAGCGUUAAAUAUUUGAACAUAAAAUGAAUUUUAUAUUCGUCAAUGGCUUAUUAAUAUUCGUGUGUUGUUGGCACAGCGCCCUUUCCUUUCGCUUCUCGGUCGUAUCCGAAAUCUCGCGCACCGACCACACCAGCUCGCCGCACUCCUUCAGUACCGGGGCCGGUAGAGCAGGGCCCUCCCCGGCGCGG
rnacentral:misc_RNA from 1 species